rnacentral:piRNA from 1 species
UUCCAGCGAUACUCAGUUGAUGAAGUCUGC